UCUGUUAUUCUCACGGCGGAGCUUCCAACGCCGACGUCUACACAGAGAGAGAGAAACCGUCGCCGGCAAAUCAAAAAUCAAUGUGCUCUGUAAAGCACAAGCAGAAGCACCAAAACAGCCAGAUUCACCACCGCAUCUCCCCCUCCACCGCGACCUCCGGCAGCGGCGAGGAUUGGAGAGAUGUGGCCAUCUCCACCGGAUCGCUGAAGCACGUCGACCUCAACACCGGAUCCAACGGCUGGGCAUCGCCGCCGGGGGACAAUUUCUCCGUCCGCGGCCCCAAUUACCUCACGAAGAAGGCUAAAACCCCCGCCGGCGAGUGGCUGAUGAAUCCGGCCGGCGUCGACUGGCUCAGAUCCAGCGCAAAACUCGAUCACGUCCUCGCGCGGCCGGACAACCGCGUGAUGACCGCGCUGCGCGCAUCGAAGAGCGAGAAAUCGUCCAAAACGUUCAUCAUCGCGAUCAAUUUACAAGUCCCCGGGCGCGAGCACCACUCCGCGGUUUUCUACUUCUCCAGCAAAAUCGACGAGCCGAUCGCCUCGAAUCCGCUGUUUCAUCAGUUCAUCAACGGCUCCGACGCCUUCCGAAGCAGCCGAUUUAAGAUCGUGAAUAAGAUCGUCAAAGGACCGUGGAUUGUGAAAUCGGCGGUGGGGAAUUACUCAGCGUGUUUGUUGGGGAAGGCAUUGAAUUGCUACUAUCACCGCGGCCCUAAUUAUUUGGAAAUCGAUGUCGACAUCGGUAGCUCCGCAAUCGCCAGCGCAAUUUUGAAGCUGGCGUUAGGUUGCGUGACGUCGGUGACGGUGGACAUGGGGUUUUUGGUCGAGGGGCAAAAGGAGGAAGAGCUCCCCGAGCGUUUGCUCGGCGCCGUGAGGAUUUGUCAAAUGGAGAUGAGCUCCGCCACGUUUGUUGAUAGCGCCGCCGUUGCAACGAGCAAGGUUUUGCCGAUGAGUAGCGGCGGCGAAAGCGAAAAUGAGGUUUGAUUAACUCAUCAUUUUCGUUGCUAUUUAGCCAUUGGGAAGCUAACAAUGAAGAAAGGGCUAUGGCUACCUUUUUCUCCAGCCAUCCAAAAGGUAGAAGGAUAGAGCCAUAUUUUGCAUCAUUUUUCUUAAAAGAUCUCAAUUUUUGAGGGGAUUCCACUAUUUCUGAGAAGGUAAGGGUAACUUUGAUGUCUGAAAAUCACCCAGUAAGAAAAUGUACUUAAACAUCUACCUUGGAAGGGCAUGAAUGAGGUACAAUAAUCAUGAAUCAUGAAUGACGAAUAACGAAUCAUAAAUCGCCACCCAAUCUUGCUGGACCAUUGUACUAUUCCGUCGUUCUUCUCUCACUUUUUUCUUUCUUUCAUAUACUAAUGUUUAGUUUGGAGUUAUUCUGUGUUUGGGUGGUGAGGUGGCUGGCCUUGGGAUUUUCUAUAUAUAUGAUUGAUUGAGCAGCUGAUAAUUUGGACAAGUUAGGCAGAUAUGUUGAUUUUGUUAACUGGUGCAGAUUUUCUAGCUAUCAAUAUGAUUAAGUUAAUCUUGAGACACAA